ensembl:lncRNA
ACCUCUUUGGAUAGAGAUUGUGCUCCUGUUGAGCUAUCACUGGUCAUUGGAAGAGAGAAAAAAUCUGGCACAAAAACCAGGCACUGCAGUAAAUUAGAACUAAACCAGUGAUCUGAACUUUGGAAGAGAGAAUUACCAGUGUGUCAAGAUUCACAACAAAGAACUGCAGAUACACCAAAUACGUACAGAAAGUCAUUCUAGCAGAGCUGCUCCCUUUUGCCACACCGCCAUAUCUUUGAAUUGUUCAAUUUCCUUUCUGGCCCUUAACUGAGUCUUAUUCUGUGAUAAACUUUAGAAUUGAUUUCAUGGAAUUUUUCUAGCAGUUACUUCUUCACAGCUUAAAGGAUCUGUCCUUUCCUUGGGGUUCAAGGAAACUUGAAAUUUGGUCAUUCGAUUUGAAUGCAGUCUCUUUUCUCUUACUUUCUUCUACACUUAAAUGCUUCUUUUAUUCAAACAACCUCACUGAUCUCAACGGGAAGACUAUUACAUGAAGGUGCUACUCAGUUUGAGUGGAGACAGCAGAAGACUUUGGAUCCCUCUUUGCUUGGGGGCCACUUUUCCAUUUAUUUAAUUUCCGUUGGCUGCUUACAAAAAUUUCCUGCCAAAAUUUUCCCGAGGGGAAAAGGCAUCCCAUUCAGACCAACAUUUAGCCAUCAGGUAGUUUAUACAAGAUAAGCAUAUAGCAAGUUAUGGUUAUUCAGAGUAGCAUUGAGCUGCUGGCUUGCCCCAGGUGGCAGCUAGCCGUACCCUUGGCGAUUCCUCUGCAGAUAAAUUUUCUGUCCUUCAUGAGGGUUGGAUUUCACAGAAUCACAGAAUUGUAGGGGCUGGAAGGGCCCUCUAGAGGUGAUCAAGUCCAACCCUCUGCAUGUUCCUUACCAUAGGUCACACAGGAAGGCAUCCAGAUGGGUCUUGAAUUUCCUCCCAUCCCAAAAUAAAGGCAAGCAGCAGGAUUUAGGGGUCCUCCUCCACAUACAACCCUCACUGACAAAGGAGAAAAGCCAUCCUCCAGACAUCUCUCUUAGGCAUCCAUGCCCGGGUUGGGCCACCUAUGCCGCUUCUGAGAAUCCUAAGGCCCUCAGCCCCUCGGAAUGUGCUUCUGGUGAGCACACACAAGCAUCAGCAGUGCUGACUCAAGCAACUCAGGGGUUUGCAGGGAGCAAAGCUGCUCUCCCUCCCCCCACUCAGCCCAUGACUGAGACAGGCCCCAGCCCCACCAAGGUCACCGCCAUUUCUAUCUUCCUCAAUGUGUUGCGCCAGCUUUUCUGGCUGCCCUGGGAAAGCAGCAGAGCUGACCUUGCUGGGUACUAUAAUGCUGGAAAUUUGCCCGUGACAUAUAUUUACACAGGAAUAUUGCUCGAAGGACCCAGGCAUGGCCUAUACCUCCCUAGAGGGCAAGGAAAGGGGAGGCCAUGGGUCCAGGCCACCUGUGCAGGUAGGCCAAGGUGGUACAAGGGGAGCCUGCUCUGCCUCUGAUCUCCUCCAGCCUGUGAUAAUCUGCACCUGCUGAGGAUCUCCCAAAGCUCUGGAGUGAACCAAGCACAGUGCUUGGUAUCACAUUGCACAGAGGCAGAAGAACGCCACUAAGAAGAUGCAAAACCUCAGCUCACCCCACCAAAAGUUUUCCAUUCUCCUCCUUCAUUCCCACUGGAGUCGCACUCCCUGAAUUUAAUAGUUUCAAGAAGAGGAAAAAAAAUCUCUGGAACUGGUUUUUUUUUUUUUUCUCUCUCUCUUGUAUAUUAAACAUUUCCAGUCAGGCUGAACUUGUGUGAGAGUCUCUGCAGUGAAGCACUCCGCCAGCAUGUCCCUCUGGGAACUUCAGAUACUAUUUAUUUAAUGUUUUUACUCUCAUUGAAGAUUGUGUCCCAGUAGGUGUCAACAGCAUUUUUGCUCUCUCACAGCUCCUUGGUCAGCCUGUCCUGUGAACUGGAGGAUUUUCCUACCCAAGGCAGCCAACAUACUUACAGACUUGCUCACAUGAAUGUUUCAGAAACCUGCAGCUAUGUUUUAAAAUUAUCUGGAGAUGAUUAAAAAUUAACACAAGCCAUGGCGAUGACGGAUGUUCUUCCAGGCUUCCUGCUGAAAUCUUAACAUCCAGCAAUUCUAUACUCGAGUCCAAAUUAUCUCUAAAUGGUAAAGAAUGGGAUAAAUCACAGCUGUCACUUUACAAAAACAGUAUAGAAGUUCUUUUUAGCCAUCAGUCUUCUGUUCUACUGCUACUGCAAGUUGCCUUUUAUUUAUGCUGCUGCUUAAGGAGAUUGCCAGGAUCACAGGACAUUUGCUCAUCUGAAUAAAGACUACUCCACGUUAACUUAUUGUGAUACUGCGAAGACAUUUCUGAUUCCACAGAAGAAAACUUCAGCGAGACAAGGACAGAGAUUGGGGAUGUUUUCUCUACAAGUGUCCACAGUUUUUGUUUUCCAAGAGAAGGGAGGAGCUAUGUGGCCCUGUUCCCAUUUAAUCACUCAAAGAGGAGCCAGGAACUGCUACGUUCCAGUUGCAGUUUGGACGUGGCCACCUUCCUUGUUUUGUCUAUUUAUCUGCAAGCUCAUUGCAGUAUGGGACAGCAUUUUAGCAGCAACGAGAAAAACAGAAGUCCUGUCUUUAAGACAGGUCUUUAAGAGACAGCAAACAAACAACCACAGCAACGAAAAUCCUCAAAUCCAGCCUAAGAUGAAGGAGUAACCUUAAAAAUUCAAGCAUCCAAGGAGUGGGGAAGGAAAAUUCAGACUGAGCGUGCAGCUCCUCAGCCCCCUUGCUGUGCAUUCAUCAGAAGGGAGGAUGGUGUUUCUUUCUCACGCAGCUCCUUCCCUCUGUGCGCUCAAACAUAUGGUUCGCUCCUCCACACCGCUUGCAUGCCAUGAACCUGCAUUUCAGCAGCUGCCUCUGCCACAGCCCAGAGCAGCUGGGAACAUCCCUUGUAGGCCUGGGGUCCGGAUGCUCUCAGCUGCUUUAGAAGGCUGAAAUUUGCUCAAGGAAGGCAUAACUUCUGGCAGCUUUAGCAGCUAAGCAGUAAGAAGUCUCUAGUUAGAACCAUGGGCACAUUACAUGAUUCAAAGGCUUAAAACUGGACAGAGGUGGGUGCAUUUUGCUAGGAAGGGCAUUCCUUCCUCCUUUCCCGGCCCCACCUCAGACACAAAAGCCCCCUCCCAGAUUCUUGUUUCAGUGCAGGCAUGCUUGGGUAUUUCAAAGGAAAGGUCAGAAGAAUUUCUAACAUGGGAGAAGCAACGUGCUUUUCUUGUUCCUGCUCUUUGAGCUGCCAUCAUGAUUUUGACCAAAGUUUCCUGACAAAAUGUUAGGCCUAAAGAGGACCUAACAAAGAGAACACCACGGUCUUACACUGGGAAAUGUUAAGUCAUCUUAAUAAAAAGCUGUUGCCACCAGCCUCACCUAAAGGUACUGUGAGUCAGAGUAAUGAUAUGGAUUCCAGGUCUCACCACUUAAUUAGAGUGCCCUAAUUUCUUUAAGAUACAAGUAUCUAUCCAACUGGCCGUGCCGCCCACUGCUCGCCUUCCGGUGAUCUCAGGAACCGUUCAAGGCAGUGCAACAGGCACAUCAACACCGCACAUGCCACACCUCUGACCUCUUAAAUAAUGAGGUUCUGUGCCUUUGUGAUCUGCAUGUCAGCUGAUCCGUGCAGGCAACGUUUCACCUUCGCUGUGGGUAUCCACUUCUGCUCAUCCUGGCAGUUACACACGGGCUCUUGCUCACGCUGCUCCAACCGUAAUGUCAGGCAAUCACAAAUCUCUCCCACUUUAUAAUCACCAUGCGAGAAUUUGGUUUUACGUUCACUGGCUACUGUUGGCACGUACCUUAGAACAAGGCAAGAAAACAUAGUUAGGUUCUUCAGAAAGAGACAACUGUGGAUCUGUGCACUUCCAGGGCAUCUGUUUUUCAAAGACGACGAGCAGGUCAGUGCCAAGCUUUUAGACUCAAUUAGUAAAGGCGGCCCUCAAAAAUAAAACACUCGGACUCCUGAAAAAUGUCAAUGGGAAGCAAGUACUUAGCAUUUCUGAGAAUUGGGCUAAAUUUACAACAGACUGAAGGUUGGGGUCUGGCACUGGAACAGGCCUUUACUAUCCAGAUGCAGUAUUAGUCUUUCAUAAAGAAUUUGUACUGUCCUUAUCCAAUUUCCAUUCCUGACUAUGGCUUUCAGUGAAAUGCAUUAUUUCUCUCUACUUUAUUUCUGCUAAACGCUCCUUUUAAGCAGGAGGAUUAUUAAACUCACAUUCCAAGUCUUCCUUCAAUGUUACAACUAUUUCCUCUACUGAAAUGCAAUUCUAUUCCACAAAGAGACUUUGGGAAGGGAAGAAAAAAAACAUCUGUAAGAUUGCUUAUUUGCUGUUUCUCCAAAGUCUUGCUCAGCAAAGGUGCUCAGAGAUUACAGAAAAUCUGCUGGGACCUGACAGUGAGGUCCAUGACCACUGGUGACAACAGUUCCUAUUGUCAACUGCAGAAGCAACAGAUGCCUUCUUUGCUGAGUUUUGUGUAACAGCACUACCAGGCUGAUCCUGACAGGUAGCAAACAGUGCUGUCAAAACUACAAGAGUGAAUCACGUUUACUUUUCCUUCCACUAG